rnacentral:misc_RNA from 1 species
GGCGUGGCGUCAGCUGCGGCCUGGGCCGACCCUCCCACCCGUGUCGACUUCUAUCGUGUUGCUUUGGCGGCCCGGACGCGCGAGGCCUGUCGGUCCAUCUCGACAGGUGGUUGUGCUCCCCUGGCUCUCGCGAUGAGGGCUGGGUCGUGACCGCCAGAGACCCCCCUCAAAAUACGUAUGUUGUUCCUGUAGUCUAAAGUUUAAUGAAGCAAAUUGAUA